rnacentral:rRNA from 1 species
UACGUAGGGGGCUAGCGUUGUCCGGAAUCAUUGGGCGUAAAGAGCGUGUAGGCGGCCCGGUAAGUCCGCUGUGAAAGUCGGGGGCUCAACCCUCGAAUGCCGGUGGAUACUGUCGGGCUAGAGUGCGGAAGAGGCGAGUGGAAUUCCUGGUGUAGCGGUGAAAUGCGCAGAUAUCAGGAGGAACACCGAUUGCGAAGGCAGCUCGCUGGGACGUUACUGACGCUGAGACGCGAAAGCGUGGGAGCAAACAGG